CCACACUAGGCUCAAGACUUCCCAAUGUCUUUGUCUCCUCUCCCUCAAAUCUCUCCACCCAAUGUCUUGACAAAUACUGUAGAUCCUUCCUGCACAACAUCACCAGAAUGUUCUUCUUUCUUUCCAUUCACCUCUGUCAUCAUCCAUGCUAUGGUGUUUAUGGAGGAUGUAUUCUGCAGCAUGAAGUGUGAUGGGCACUGACGCUGCAGAAAGACUCCUGCUGUCCACCUCGGGAGCUGACACGAUAAAUGCGGAGAAUGAGUAGCCACUGCUGUUUGCCCUGGCCCAUCAAUGAGAAGAUCUGCUCUUAGAGCCCUGCUUUCCUGCUGAAGGCCCCGAAAUCACCUGUGUUCCAGGCCACCCGCUAACAAUAAAUAAUGCUCCCCUGAUGUGGGGAAUUAGCUCAAGUGGUAGAGCGCUUGCUUAGCAUGCAAGAGGUAGUGGGAUCGAUGCCCACAUUCUCCAAGCUUUAUUAUUUAGACAUCGUGUCUCCAAACACUCAG
rnacentral:tRNA from 10 species